CUGCGUGUGUGUCGCCCCGUAAUGCUAUGUGGGUACUGUGUACCCGUCGGCCAUUGUAGCUCCGCAUACAGGAGUGUCGUGUGCCGGGCGUGCCUCCUCCUCCAGCCUUUCGAAGUUCUGACUUUGGGCCGGGAUCACCCCCCCGGCCAGGUGGGGGGGGAGCGGGGCCGGGCCAGGUCUCCCGCGUCUUACUUGCGCACCGUGGGUCUGUCUCCUGUAGGC